GAUGAAGAACGCAGCGAAAUGCGAUAAGUAAUGUGAAUUGCAGAAUUCAGUGAAUCAUCGAAUCUUUGAACGCACAUUGCGCCCGCCAGUAUUCUGGCGGGCAUGCCUGUUCGAGCGUCAUUACAACCCUCAGGCCCCCGGGCCUGGCGUUGGGGAUCGGCGGAGCCCCCCGUGGGCACACGCCGUCCCCCAAAUACAGUGGCGGUCCCGCCGCAGCUUCCAUCGCGUAGUAGCUAACACCUCGCGACUGGAGAGCGGCGCGGCCACGCCGUAAAACACCCAACUCUUCUGAAGUUGACCUCGAAUCAGGUAGGAAUACCCGCUGAACUUAAGCACAUCAAUAAGCGGAGGA
rnacentral:misc_RNA from 1 species